GACGAACGCUGGCGGCGUGCUUAACACAUGCAAGUCGAACGAUGAACCCGGUGCUUGCUCCGGUGGAUUAGUGGCGAACGGGUGAGUAACACGUGGGUGAUCUGCCCUGCACUUCGGGAUAAGCCUGGGAAACUGGGUCUAAUACCGGAUAGGACCAUUGCCUGCAUGGGUGGUGGUGGAAAGCUUUUGCGGUGUGGGAUGGGCCCGCGGCCUAUCAGCUUGUUGGUGGGGUGAUGGCCUACCAAGGCGACGAUGGGUAGCCGGCCUGAGAGGGUGACCGGCCACGCUGGGACUGAGAGACGGCCCAGACUCCUACGGGAGGAAGCAGUGGGGAAUAUUGCACAAUGGGCGCAAGCCUGAUGCAGCAACGCCGCGUGAGGGAUGACGGCCUUCGGGUUGUAAACCUCUUUUAGUAGGGAAGAAGCGAAAGUGACGGUACCUGCAGAAAAAGCACCGGCUAACUACGUGCCAGCCGCCGCGGUAA
rnacentral:rRNA from 1 species